AGCGCGAUCCUGGGCUAGCGAAGCGCACGUACCUCGUCCAACUGCCUGAAGGACGCUGUCCUUACGCGCGGAGGACGCCGGACCGGAGCGGGCAACGCCGCAGCCCCGCGGGACACAGGGGAGACGGUUAUAGACAACAUGACAUUUCGCCUCUGGGAUUUCACACCCUCCGACAGUGUCCUCCCACAUUGUACAGGGUUGGUCCAGUAGAAUACAGAAGUAGUGAUGGCCUGUCUCGUCUGGAAUUAAGUUACAAAAGACACAUGGCUGCAUCUUGCCUUCUCUCUCUCCCUCUCCCUCUCAUCACUUGCUCUGGGGGAAGUCAGCUGCCAUGUCGCUAGUAGCCCCAUGGAGAGGCCCAUGUGACAAAGAAAGCCUCAUGGACACAGAUCCCCAAGCCCCAGUCAAGUGUCAGAUGACUGCAAACCCCACCACAUCUAGGUGGGAGCCUCCUGAGAGACCCUGCGUCAGAACCACCGGCUAAGCCAGUCCCAGAUUCCUGACCCUCAGAAACUGUGCAAGAUAAUAAUUUCUACUGCUUUAACCUGCUAAAGUUGGGGCUACAUUGGUAGUACAGAUAGAACACAUUUGGAUACCUUUGCAGGCGGGGUACUGUGACAGAAACCCAAAAUGUGGGAGUGGCUUUGGCACCAGGCGGUGGGCUUUGUUGAGAGCAUCGGUAAAUGCCUGGAGCACCUUGAAGAAGCUGUGAAUUAAAGAGUCCAGGUCGUUAAAGAUUCAGGUCAGAGCUUGCAGGAAAGUGUCAGAAACUGGAGGAAGGGAUCCUGGUGAUGCUGUUGCCUGCAGUCAUGUGGACAGAGGAAAAUGCAACCGAUGAACUCGUGAUCUAGUCAAGGAGAUUUGGAGCCAAAACGUUUUCAGUGCUGCCUGCUUUCUGCUAGUUGCUUAUAGUAAGAUGCCAGAGGAGAGAGAGAAAUGAACGGAAGGGUCGUUAAGCAGAAAGGAGCUGGGACUGGAAGGUUUUCAGCCGGGCCAGAUGACAAAUUAUGCUAGAAUCAAGGAAUGGCUUCCAAGCAAAAGUCCAAAUUCAGGGCCCUGCCAGAAAACCUGUGGUCCAGAGACAGACCCUAGGCUGUGCCUGUAAAUAAUUUUUAAAAGAUUUCAGAAAGAUAUAAAGCCAUACCCCAUAGUCCUUUUGUCAGACAAAAGGCCCUCUAAGGAGAGUAAACGUGUGCCUCGCUGCUGUGGCCCGAAUGCUUGUGGGCUUAAAGGUGUACCUCACAUGUGAGGUCACAAGAAGUCGGCAGCCUGGAGGAGGGCCCUCACCAGAACCCAGCCAUGCUGGCACCCUGGUCUCAGAAUUCCAGCCUCCAGAACUGUGAGGAAUAAAUGUCUGUUGUUUAUAAAUUACCCAGCCUGUGGUGUUUUGUUACAGCAGCCCCAGUGGACUAAGACACUCACAGACCCUCUCAAUCAAAGGAUGGUGCUCCUCAGGGCUUCCCUGGUGGUCCAGUGGUUAGGGCUCCACGCUUCCACUGCAGGGGGCAUGGGUUCGAUCCCUGGUCAGGGAACUAAGAUCCUGUAUGCCAGCGGCACGGCCAAAAAAAAAAAAGAAAAACA